UCCCUCGUCAAAGAACGCCUAAACCCUAGCGCCGCCCUUGAAUUCUCCACCCACCGGCCAGCGGCGCCACCCCUAAUCGACUCCAAAUUAACACAAUAAAAUCCUCACAGCCUCCCUUUUCCCAAUCUCAAAGCCAUUUCCCUCGAAUCUUUCCACAUCUGCUCGAAUUUCAAAUAUGAGUUCGAAGCCCUAAGAGCCCAAAGUCAGUUUUCGUUGAAUCUGUGACAUGCAAGGGCUCUUUCUCCAAGUUUCCUGAGUUUUUCAAGGCUAAUUUAUCACAAAACAAUGAUGGUCGCUGGUUUUUGAGAAAGAGCAGGCAAUUAACAUUAUUUUGGGUUACAUUGGAGUGUCAAUAUCGAUUUCAAGUCAAUUUGGUAAGUUUUCUGCAUUUCUUUUGUCUUUUUAUGCUAUUUCACCGUCCGUUCCUCUCACUUUCUUCUACCUUUCUUUAGUUUAAUUUCUUCGGAUGAAUUUGGUGAAAUUUAAACUUCUGAAUCUAGGUAUUCUUUGUUUGUUUGGUGGUCGUACUUAUUCUGUGUGCAUUCCAGUUUUCUGUUAAAAAUUGUCGUUAAUUUUGCUUUGGUUUGUGCAUUUUGCUCGUUUAAGUUCUGAUUUCUCUACUCGUAUAAUUAGCUUAAGUUAGAUUUUAUUGAUUUGUUAAUAUAGUUUAAUUAUAGCUCAUAGUUAGUUUAAUGAGGAAAAUCAGUCAUUUAGCUAGAAUUUUAGUUUUGAAAUCGUUCGGCUGUUUAUUUCUUCUAAUUUCUCAUUGAAUAGCUAAAAUGGAGUUCUGAUUUCGGUUUGGGCCUUGGGGUCAAUUCUGACCCAUUUUCAAGGGGGCAACUGCAUUGUCUUUUAAGCCUUGGGUCAAGCUUGACCCGUUUGGUUCCAGGGGUAAUUUUCAGGGGUUUAAGGGUUAAUUUAGGAAUUAUAGGCUAGGGAAUCUUGUAUAACAGACUGGGGAAACUUCUAGGAAGGUGGUUUUGGAGUUAUUUUUCAAAAUCUGAUUUUAAAUUAGGGGUGCAGUAGCAAAAAUGAAAAUUCCAAAAGUAUUAAAGAGCAAAACUGAACUCAUUUUCUACUGCCCUAAGGCUUGCCUAUAAAGACAUUGUUUCUGAACUCCCAAGGGAGCUUUGUAGAGAUUUUAGAAAGCUAAAACACUGAAAAUUUGAGAGACGGGUGAAGUCCCUAAAAAACUCAACAACACUAAAAAAUUGUUGAAAAUUGGACUGGUUUUGGUUCUCUGGUUUCCUAUGGUUAAUUACAGUUUCUCAAAAACCUUAAUCGUGCAUCUGGUUUGAAUUGUUUGGAGCUGGUUUUGAAGUUUGGGUUUGUUUUGCUGUGUUAACACUGUUACAUUGCUGCUGAUACAAUUUUGCUGCUGCUGAUCCCUCAUUCUUCUUACUUUUUUUGAUUUUCAGGUAUUUUUUGGAACCAUAGACAACAUGUUAAAUGUAAAUCUGCAAUUGGAAUGCGAAACAUGUUGAAUACAAGCUGCUAUUGAGUUUUAUUCUCCUGUUUCCUCUAUUUUUUUAGCACUAUAUAAUAGUUUAAUUUUAAGCAUGUUUUAUUAGCCUUUUCUUAUGAUUGUAAAAACAGUACAAGCUGAAUUACUGAUGUCCCUUUGUUUUAGCUUGC
rnacentral:lncRNA from 1 species